CGAACGCGUUGGCCCAAUUGAUUGAUGGUGCUUGCACCUGAUUGAUUUUGGUCGCCAACGAGUGGCGGACGGGUGAGUAACACGUAGGUAACCUGCCCAGAAGCGGGGGACAACAUUUGGAAACAGAUGCUAAUACCGCAUAACANCGUUGUUCGCAUGAACAACGCUUAAAAGAUGGCUUCUCGCUAUCACUUCUGGAUGGACCUGCGGUGCAUUAGCUUGUUGGUGGGGUAACGGCCUACCAAGGCGAUGAUGCAUAGCCGAGUUGAGAGACUGAUCGGCCACAAUGGGACUGAGACACGGCCCAUACUCCUACGGGAGGCAGCAGUAGGGAAUCUUCCACAAUGGGCGCAAGCCUGAUGGAGCAACACCGCGUGAGUGAAGAAGGGUUUCGGCUCGUAAAGCUCUGUUGUUAAAGAAGAACACGUAUGAGAGUAACUGUUCAUACGUUGACGGUAUUUAACCAGAAAGUCACGGCUAACUACGUGCCAGCAGCCGCGGUAAUACGUAGGUGGCAAGCGUUAUCCGGAUUUAUUGGGCGUAAAGAGAGUGCAGGCGGUUUUCUAAGUCUGAUGUGAAAGCCUUCGGCUUAACCGGAGAAGUGCAUCGGAAACUGGAUAACUUGAGUGCAGAAGAGGGUAGUGGAACUCCAUGUGUAGCGGUGGAAUGCGUAGAUAUAUGGAAGAACACCAGUGGCGAAGGCGGCUACCUGGUCUGCAACUGACGCUGAGACUCGAAAGCAUGGGUAGCGAACAGGAUUAGAUACCCUGGUAGUCCAUGCCGUAAACGAUGAGUGCUAGGUGUUGGAGGGUUUCCGCCCUUCAGUGCCGGAGCUAACGCAUUAAGCACUCCGCCUGGGGAGUACGACCGCAAGGUUGAAACUCAAAGGAAUUGACGGGGGCCCGCACAAGCGGUGGAGCAUGUGGUUUAAUUCGAAGCUACGCGAAGAACCUUACCAGGUCUUGACAUCUUGCGCCAACCCUAGAGAUAGGGCGUUUCCUUCGGGAACGCAAUGACAGGUGGUGCAUGGUCGUCGUCAGCUCGUGUCGUGAGAUGUUGGGUUAAGUCCCGCAACGAGCGCAACCCUUGUUACUAGUUGCCAGCAUUAAGUUGGGCACUCUAGUGAGACUGCCGGUGACAAACCGGAGGAAGGUGGGGACGACGUCAGAUCAUCAUGCCCCUUAUGACCUGGGCUACACACGUGCUACAAUGGACGGUACAACGAGUCGCGAACUCGCGAGGGCAAGCAAAUCUCUUAAAACCGUUCUCAGUUCGGACUGCAGGCUGCAACUCGCCUGCACGAAGUCGGAAUCGCUAGUAAUCGCGGAUCAGCAUGCCGCGGUGAAUACGUUCCCGGGCCUUGUACACACCGCCCGUCACACCAUGAGAGUUUGUAACACCCAAAGUCGGUGGGGUAACCUUUUAGGAGCCAGCCGCCUAAG
rnacentral:rRNA from 1 species